GCUGGGCGAGGUGGUGCACGCCUGUAAUCCCAGCUACUCGGGAGGCUGAGGCAGAAGAAUCACUUGAGCCCAGGAGGUAGAGGUUGCAGUGAGCAGAGAUUACACCACUGCACUCCAGCCUGGGAAACAGAGUGAGACUCCGUCUCAA
rnacentral:SRP_RNA from 2 species